rnacentral:rRNA from 1 species
UACGGGGGGAGCAAGCGUUGUUCGGAUUUACUGGGCGUAAAGGGCGCGUAGGCGGCCACCGCAAGUCGAUUGUGAAAUCUCCGGGCUUAACCCGGAAAGGUCAACUGAUACUGCGGGGCUAGAGUGCAGAAGGGGCAACUGGAAUUCUCGGUGUAGCGGUGAAAUGCGUAGAUAUCGAGAGGAACACCUGCGGCGAAGGCGGGUUGCUGGGCUGACACUGACGCUGAUGUGCGAAAGCUAGGGGAGCGAACGGG